rnacentral:rRNA from 1 species
AACGAACGCUGGCGGCAUGCCUAACACAUGCAAGUCGAACGAGACCUUCGGGUCUAGUGGCGCACGGGUGCGUAACGCGUGGGAACCUGCCCUUAGGUUCGGAAUAACUCCCCGAAAGGGGUGCUAAUACCGGAGAAUGUCUUCGGACCAAAGAUUUAUCGCCGUUGGAUGGGCCCGCGUUGGAUUAGCUAGUUGGUAGGGUAAAAGCCUACCAAGGCGACGAUCCAUAGCUGGUCUGAGAGGAUGAUCAGCCACACUGGGACUGAGACACGGCCCAGACUCCUACGGGAGGCAGCAGUGGGGAAUAUUGGACAAUGGGCGAAAGCCUGAUCCAGCAAUGCCGCGUGAGUGAUGAAGGCCUUAGGGUUGUAAAGCUCUUUUACCCGGGAUGAUAAUGACAGUACCGGGAGAAUAAGCUCCGGCUAACUCCGUG